rnacentral:piRNA from 1 species
UAGGUACCUUAAUGGUGUGGUCUGCAUGAUU